AACGAAAUUACAAUGUGCACUCAAUACUGCAACAAACGAGACCACUAAGCACACACCUUAUUUUCUCGUUCACGGCAGACAGUUCACUAGCAAAGGUAAUUUACAUCACUUAAACCAUGAACAGCCCAUUCUUAGGUCAGAAGUUACGGUCGGAGAUGCUGAUGCCUACGGGGAAGGUUUAAAAGAAUUGGGGACAAUAUUUAAAAAAGUACAGAAGUAUAUUCAAGAAUCUCAUGUCAAAAACACAAAAUAUUACAAUUUAAGAAAACGUCACUUAGAAUACAAAAUAGGUCAAAUUGUAUACAAACGUACUCACUACUUAUCUAAUGCACCAAAGAAUUUUACAGCCAAAUUGGCACCUAAAUUUCAAAAAUGCGUAAUCACGGCAAAGUUGUCACCAUUAGUUUACACUUUAAAAACGCUAGAUGGUAAACAUCUGGGAAAUUAUCAUGUCAAAGAUAUACUGAAACAAGACGAUAUCGCGUGACGGGAACGUCCUUAAUACAUUAAUAAUAAGUGCAGAUUGUAAGAUAUGAUGUAUGAAUGCAUUUUCUAAAUUAAUCACUAGUGAACCCUUUGGCUAUAGUAAGCUGUGACAGAGAUAAGAAUGGAAUGUAACUUGUUAUUACCGUAAACAUGCCACAUCUGUGUGCAUCGGACCCAAUGUUUACGAUUACGCGAUAUAAUUAUUAGCCUAUCGGUCAUGAAAUUAAUAAAAUACUUAACAUAAUAGUACCGGGAAUCUAGAAAGUAGGUACUUUAUGAUAAAUCUUGAUUUAAAACCUUAAGCGUGUAUCCUUAUGAAUACCAAUACUUACUUAAAUAAGACACGUGUCACUUGAUCAAACCAUGGUUUAUUGGAUCCACCUUUUACUUAAUUGAAAAAAAAAUUAUAGUGAAUACCUAAACACAACGAUAAGGUGUAUAGGUAAGUUUUGAACAAGUAGUAUUAAAUUUUAUGAGCCCAACUACUUAAAACGUGUUGGUACUCGUCUUUAAUUAUGACGUUGGCCACGUCUUAUUUGUAAGAUUAGUAGGUAAGAAUAAAUACUUUAAUACAUUAAAUUGUUAGGUAGAAAAUAUAGUAUUCAGGCGGGUGGUAUUGCAUGUUCACUGUCUGCCAAACAUAAUUGUCGUUUAACGUAUAUUUAGCAAUAAAGUUAGUACAUAGUAAAUAUUUACGCAUGAGAAAAUAGUCUUGCCUAAAUGCCUAUGCAUAAUAAUAUUAAAUUAUUAACAAUGUACAUACAAAUAUAGAUAUAUGAGAAAAAAGUUUAUUCGCUACGAAAAACUUUUUAACCCAACUGGAACGGAUGUGUAACAUAAAUAUUUAACAUAAAAUAAAAAAUUGUGUUUUUAAUAAAUUAAUUAUAAAUAAGUCACUAAUUUAACUUCAGCGCCCUCUCGGGAUAAAAUAUCGAACUAACAAGCCCGCUCAAGGCAUCCACUCGCGCGCACAUACGUGUUAGCCAAGUAGAUAAGGAGUUAGUUACAAAAACAUCCGCAGACGAUAGCUGGCGCGCGCGUCAGAGUCCGACGUUCUUUUCUAAUACGAACAGCGCCUGGGAAACAAGACUGAAAAUUGAUUUUUAUAAAAUGUGGUUCACCGGAGGGAACCUUGCAGCCUGGGCGGUUAAAAUGAAUAGUCGUAACAUAUUAACAUAAAAAACCUGGAGAAAGCACUACUUUGAAGAAAAUUAAUUCCCAAUACUGGGUCCUUGUGUCGCUAUGAAAUCCUGAUCAAUUGCACGAGAGAAUGCCAUAGCUGAUGGGAAAUGAACCUCGGACCGCAUCCUGUGUUUGAGCUUGCUUUCCACCUCACACCUUAACCCUGGGACCUGCUUCCUGAAGGCAUCAGCGUCAGCGUACAGGAUUCCGUAUGUGUAAUUAAAAAGUGAUUGCAAGGUUAGUUAAGCUUAAUUUGAACUUUAUCUUAACAUCAGUGGACAAUCUUCAAAGAGUGACUGUGACGUAGUAUAUCCAGAAUUAAAAGGCUUUCUCCAGCAUA
rnacentral:lncRNA from 1 species